CCGGCAGCCCGAGUGGUGAUCACUAUUAUUGGGUCUAAAGGGUCCGUAGCCGGUUUAAUCAGUCUUCUGGGAAAUCUAAUCGCUUAACUAUUAGGCUUCCAGGGGAUACUGUUAGACUUGGGACCGGGAGAGGUAAGAGGUACUGCAGGGGUAGGAGUGAAAUCUUGUAAUCCCUGUGAGACCACCAGUGGCGAAGGCGUCUUACCAGAACGGGUCCGACGGUGAGGGACGAAAGCUGGGGGCACGAACCGGAUUAGAUACCCGGGUAGUCCCAGCUGUAAACGAUGCUCGUUAGGUGUCAGGAACGGUGCGACUGUUUCUGGUGCCGAAGGGAAGCCGUGAAACGAGCCACCUGGGAAGUACGGCCGCAAGGCUGAAACUUAAAGGAAUUGGCGGGGGAGCACUACAACGGGUGGAGCCUGCGGUUUAAUUGGACUCAACGCCGGAAAACUCACCGGGGGCGACAGCAAUAUGUAGGUCAGGUUAAAGGUCUUACCUGAAUCGCUGAGAGGAGGUGCAUGGCCGUCGUCAGUUCGUACUGUGAAGCAUCCUGUUAAGCCAGGCAACGAGCAAGACCCGUGCCCGCUGUUACCAGCAUAUCCUUUAUGGAUGAUGGGGACUCUGUGGGGACCGCUGCUGCUAAAGCAGAGGAAGGUGCGGGCUACGGUAGGUCAGUAUGCCCCGAAUCUCCCGGGCUACACGCGGGCUACAAUGGUUGGGACAAUGGGUAUCUACUCCGAAAGGAGUUGGCAAUCUCUUAAACCCAAUCGUAGUUCGAAUUGAGGGCUGUAACUCGCCCUCCAUGAAGCUGGAAUCACGUAGUAAUCGCGUUUCAACAUAGC
rnacentral:rRNA from 1 species